GCGCUCUUAGCUCAGCUGGAUAGAGCAACAGACUUCUAAUCUGUAGGUCAGAGGUUCGAAUCCUCUAGAGCGCG
rnacentral:tRNA from 1 species